CAGUCGCCACGGGAAUACAGAGGGUGCAAGCGUUAAUCGGAAUUACUGGGCGUAAAGCGCGCGUAGGUGGUUUGUUAAGUUGGAUGUGAAAUCCCCGGGCUCAACCUGGGAACUGCAUCCAAAACUGGCAAGCUAGAGUAUGGUAGAGGGUGGUGGAAUUUACUGUGUAGCGGUGAAAUGCGUAGAUAUAGGAAGGAACACCAGUGGCGAAGGCGACCACCUGGACUGAUACUGACACUGAGGUGCGAAAGCGUGGGGAGCAAACAGGAUUAGAGACCCCAGUAGUCCCUGUCUCUUAUAC
rnacentral:rRNA from 1 species